rnacentral:rRNA from 1 species
AUGGCUCAUGCACUGAUGAUUGCCGCCUCUCUUCUGCCCCACUUUUGGGCUGAGACUGUUUCUGCAUCCACCUAUCUCAUCAGCAUUCGGCCAUCGACUGCUCUGCAGGGUGGUAUUCCUUUGGAGUGUCUCUUUGGUCACUCUCCUGACUACUCAGCUCUUCGUAUGUUUGGAUGUGUGUGCUACAUCCUUCUUGCCCCGCGCGAGCGCACCAAACCGACUGCUCAGUCGGUUGAGUGUGUUUUCCUUGGCUACAGUGAUGAGCACAAGGGCUAUCGCUGUUGCGACCCUGUUGGUCGUCGCUUGCGCAUCUCGCGUGAUGUGACCUUUGACGAGUCUCGCUCUUACUACCCACGUCCAUCUUCCUCGAGCUUCUCUGUGGACGACAUUUCUUUUCUUCUCCUUCCCGAUACACCCUGCUAUGUGCGUCAUGUUUCACCUCUUCCUCCUACACCUCUCAUUCAUUCUCAUUCACCACCGACACCAUCUUCUCCAUCCUCCUCCUCCACCUCUACACCAUCAUCUCCAGUCCGUCGCCCUCUCUCACCGUUUCCUCUCCACUAUACUCAUCGCCCUCGUACUGAGGAUGCCUCUCCUGACGUGCCUGACGCGCCUUCCACCUCUGGUGCACCUCCGUUCACGCCUACCCCGGUUCAUAACCUCCGUGCUAGGCCUCGCCCUCCGCUUGAUCGCUAUUCUCUUGAACGGUACAGUCUCUCUGUUAUUGCUGAGCCCACUUCCUAUCAGACUGCCAUGACUCAGCCUGAAUGGCAGCUUGCGAUGGCCGAAGAGCUUGCUGCCCUUGAGCGCUCUGGCACAUGGGAUCUGGUUUCCCUCCCUUCCGGUGUUUGUCCCAUCACCUGCAAGUGGGUCUACAAGAUCAAGACUCGCUCCGAUGGUUCUCUUGAGCGUUACAAAGCUCGUCUUGUGGCCCGUAGCUUUCAGCAGGAGCAGGGACGCGAUUAUGAUGAGACAUUCGCUCCUAUGACCCACAUGACCACUGUCCGCACUCUCCUUGCUGUGGCUUCUGUUCGUCAUUGGUCUAUCUCUCAACUUGAUGUCCAGAACGCCUUUCUCAAUGGC